rnacentral:lncRNA from 1 species
AGGGAGAAAAAAACCCAAAGAUACAGCUAUGGGGGGGGGGGGGUUACAAAAUUCAUUUUUACAUCAAAAUAAUUUAUUUGUUUAAAUAUUUAAUUACCAGCAUCAUAUUUUCCAUUAAGAGUAAAAUUUUGAGGACAGGGUAGCAAAUUUAAGUGCUAAACUAGAUUGAAGGACCCGCAGCAUCAGAAGAGGGUGGCAAAAAGACCCCCCCCCCCCAGGGUUUAGCACCCAAAUUUAUGCGUGUAUGUUUGAAAGGAAACACAAAUUUACCAACUCAAUUGGUGAGUUUGCUGAAGUCUUUCUUUUUAAUAAUUAUUAUUAUUUAUUUAUUUUUACAGAUUUUGUCAUCCAUUCACAUUGCUUCCUCAAGUCUGGCUAUUAUUUGAUGCCAACAUGUUGAUUAAAACAAAAAUAAAUAAUGACCAGAAAUAUGUCAAGAUCAGUGAGCCAAGUUUGGAGGAAUUCUUGAAUUCUGGUAAGCCAUCAAUCACAAACUGAGAAACUAAAGAAAUUAAUUACCUGUUUAUUAGUCCAACAUUGUCUUAAAAUGUGUGAAACUUUAUAAAUUUAGGCCUUUACGGUUAAUAGUUGUUUUAAAAAAAAUCAGCAUUUUAAUUAACAUUUUUUAAUUAUUUGAUUUAUUUCCUGUAGCUUUUUUGAAGUUCUCCAUUCCACCUGUCAGUGAAGGAGUCAGAGUUUAUGAUGAAUCAGGAACUGAGGUGGAUGCAGAGGUCUUUGCAGAAGUUGCACAGCUUCCCAAUGCUGGUGUAUUUACCAUUCAAUUUAACAGUGGUUCUCUUGUUCCCAUUUUGACUGCCUCCACACAGGACUUAACCAGUUCACAACAGAAUGUUUCAUCAUGCAGUUCAAAUAAUACAGUGGUUCUAGAACUUUCUGUGUGCGAUUCUGAUGAUACAAUCAUCUUGGAUGAGGAUUGUUCCCCUUCAAGAAAAUGACAGAAGACAAAUGAAGAUGCUAAACAAGUAAGUUGAUGUUGGUUGAUUCAUUUGUUCUAUGUAGCCUGAGAUGUAUUCACUCUUUUGAUGAAAACUCUUUAAUUUGAGGAGUUGCUUUCCUAUUUUUGUUCCUUUUAAAGGUUGUUGAAUUGGCUUUGACCAAGAAACCAGGUGGAGACCAAAUUGUUAGGGAAUACAGCCGUACAAAAAGUCUGACUGAUUCCUCACGCCGACAGAUGAUUAACAUUCUUGCUGCAGAUAUGACUGAGAUUCAUGGGUAAUGUGGAUGUUUGUUCCAAGCACCUUUCUGCCAAGUAUUUGGGGAAAUAUUGGCGCCACAUAUACAUGAUUUUAGUACUGGAAAAUCUAAAUUAAUUUGUU